rnacentral:rRNA from 1 species
AACCAAGAAAUUUAGUCAUUCUUUUACGGUAAAAAGACAGUUAGGCAAAAAUAUGAAAAGGAUUAUUGGACCCUUAGUAUAGGAGUAAAAUCUAAAUACUGAUAGUUAUAUCGAAUAUAGUUUGUUAAUGUGUUGAGUCUGUGAUAGCUUUAAGGGAAACUGGGAUUGGAUACCCCAUUAUUUUUAGUUGUAAAUUUAGUUUAGACUUACCGGAGUACUACGAAUAAAAAAGUUUAAAACUCAAAGGGCUUGGCGGUGUUUUAGACCUCUCAGGGGAACCUGUCUCGUAAUCGACAAUCCGCGUUAGACCUGACCUUUUAUAGCAAUACAGCCUGUAUACCGUCGUCGUCAGGUAACUUCUUAAAAUAUAGCAGUUAGCCCGAGAAUCAGAUUAAUUAAAACGUCAGAUCAAGGUGCAGCUAAUAAAAAGGUGAGGAUGGGUUACAAUUACAUAUUUGUAAUUACGGAAAAAUACUUGAAAUGAAGUAUUUUAAAGGAGGACUUGAAAGUAAUUUUAAUAAUAUAAAUAAAAUGAAUAAGGCUCUGAAACGUGC